rnacentral:rRNA from 1 species
CCUACGGGUGGCUGCAGUGGGGGAUAUUGCACAAUGGGGGAAACCCUGAUGCAGCGACGCCGCGUGUGGGAAGACGGUCCUCUGGAUUGUAAACCACUGUCCCCAGGGACGAAGAUGACGGUACCUGGGGAGGAAGCUCCGGCUAACUACGUGCCAGCAGCCGCGGUAAUACGUAGGGACCGAGCGUUGUCCGGAAUUACUGGGUGUAAAGGGAGCGUAGGCGGGGAUGCAAGUUGGGUGUCAAGACUACCGGCUAAACUGGUAGUCGCACUCAAAACUGCAGCUCUUGAGUGAAGUAGAGGUAGGCGGAAUUCGUAGUGUAGCGGUGAAAUGCGUAGAUAUUAGGAGGAACACCAGUGGCGAAGGCGGCCUGCUGGGCUUUUACUGACGCUGAGGCUCGAAAGUGUGGGGAGCAAACAGGAUUAGAUACCCCUGUAGUC